AGACAGCUUUCUGUGGAUGUUCCUGUGUCUGAAAUCCAGCCUUCUCAGCUCCUAGAGACUGUAAGCUCCUGAAAAGGCAGUUGGCUGCGUGCUAGUUUCUUGCUUCAAGUUAUAAGUACCGGAACAAGUCUGGUGACUGCAGUUAUGGAUGAACCAUCGAACCCCAGUCAGGAAGGAGGCACCAAAAGGUUGCCAAGUCACUGUAAAACUGUAGGUGCAGGACACUCCGAGAGAAUGGGAUCAUGUCAGAGUCCAGGAGGCAACAUGUAAAAAGGCACAUCGGCCGGGACAGACUUGUGCCGUGUAUCCUUUGGGUGCCCUGGUAGCCAGAUGCAGAAAGAGGUGGCAAAUGCUAUUGUUUGGCAAACUAAGAAGCUAUUCUUCGGGUCCUUGGUUGCUAUUGCCUUGCUGCAGAAGGUAGAUGGUCUUCCCAGAUUCUGUGGCUGCAAGUGACAUUCUAACUCCAUUCUGGGAUCUGGGAGGAUUCCUCCUCUUCCCUCCCCAUCUCCUUUUUCUCCUUCCUUUCCUCUUCUCAUUUUUUUCUCUUCUUCCCUCUCCUCUAUUUUGUUUCCUUCUUUCCUUUUUCCUUCCUUCAGUU
rnacentral:lncRNA from 1 species